rnacentral:lncRNA from 1 species
UUUGUACACGGUACCAGAGGCACCGCUGCCAAGCACCUCACGGAAACCACUAGUUGCCUUCUCCAGAUCAUUGUAAGUGAAAAUCUUUGGGGGCAAGAUAGAACUACCUGACGGUUGCGGUGACUGGAGUUUCUUCUUGGAGGUUAUGGAGAUACCGCAGUAAGUGCCGAAGAGCAGAAUACUGAUCAGGAGAAUGUUUACCAAUACAGAACCCCCAAAAAACAAGGAACUCCCAAGAAUCCAAUACUUCUUGUCCUUCUUCCAUUUGCUAGAGCCAGUGUUCUGGGACUGUGAAUUGUUGCNGGUAGCCAUUAUUCUUCAAACUAUUAUCGAAUUUUGAAGAAGAUAACAUACAGAUGCAUCAAUGAUGCUAUUUGUUCAGCUAAACAUGAGUGCCUGAAAUGCUAUAUUUACCAUUAAUUCUGAAGCAUCAAUAGAAUACAGUAUUGCAUAAUCUUGCUUCAUGCUACAACUUAUUUGUUAACAAGCAGGCACAAGUGAACUGAUGAAAGGAAUACAGUAUUGCAUAAUCAUGCUUCAUGCUACAACUUAUGAAAGCGAACUGAUGAAGGAAGAGGGAUCCGGAGGCGUGGGGAUCUGCACUGCUCCAUCAAGCAUCUGUGUCACUUUAAGCAUGGUUGGCCGCAUGGUCGGCUCCUCCUGGAGGCACCAAAGGGCUACAGCCACGAAUCGCUCUGCCUUUUUGAUGUUGAAGUUUGCCUCAUCGUCGCCUUCCACCAGCAAGUCGAUCCUCCCGCACCUGUAACAGUCGUUUGCCCAGUAAGUCAGUAUCGCCUGCUCUUCAUCGGCGAUCUCUAGCUCCACAUUCCUUCUGCAGCAUACAAGCUCCAGCAGGAUCACCCCAAAGCUGUAAACAUCGACUUUGGAAGUGAUCCCUAUGUUCUUGAACCACUCUGGAGCAACGUAACCUCGAGUACCCCGGAUGCCGGUGUUUGUCUGUGUCUGAUUGGCUCGAAGAAGCUUCGCCAGGCCAAAGUCUGCAAUCUUCGCCAUAAAGUUGGCAUCAAGAAGGAUGUUCUGUGGUUUUAUGUCGCAGUGGAUAAUCUGUGUGCUGCACUCCUCGUGCAAGUAGAGCAGCCCUCGUGCCACUCCAAGUGCAACUUGCACACGGAGGUUCCAAUCCGGCCGAGCAUCACCGAAUAGGAAUUCGUUGAGCGAGCCAUUGGUCAUGAACUCAUAAACUAGCAGUCGGUGAGUUCCCUCACUGCACAAACCAAGCAGCCUGACCAAGUUCUUGUGAAACGUCUGCCCGAUGGUUUGCACCUCCACCAUGAACUCCUUCUCAGUCUCUUGCUGGAGUUUUUCAAUUUUCUUGACCGCAAUGCUGGUAGCAUGCUCAUCUUGCAGCUGUCCUUUGUACACGGUACCAGAGGCACCGCUGCCAAGCACCUCACGGAAACCACUAGUUGCCUUCUCCAGAUCAUUGUAAGUGAAAAUCUUUGGGGGCAAGAUAGAACUACCUGACGGUUGCGGUGACUGGAGUUUCUUCUUGGAGGUUAUGGAGAUACCGCAGUAAGUGCCGAAGAGCAGAAUACUGAUCAGGAGAAUGUUUACCAAUACAGAACCCCCAAAAAACAAGGAACUCCCAAGAAUCCAAUACUUCUUGUCCUUCUUCCAUUUGCUAGAGCCAGUGUUCUGGGACUG